CCCGCACAAGCAGCGGAGCGUGUGGUUUAAUUCGAUGCAACACGAAGAACCUUACCAGGACUUGACAUGCUAGAAGUAGGAACCUGAAAGGGGGACGACCUGUUAAGUCAGGAGCUAGCACAGGUGCUGCAUGGCUGUCGUCAGCUCGUGCCGUGAGGCGUUGGGUUAAGUCCCGUAACGAGCGCAACCCUCGUUGCCAGUUAUUUUCUCUGGCGAGACUGCCCCGCAAAACGGGGAGGAAGGUGGGGAUGACGUCAAGUCAGCAUGGCCUUUAUGUCCUGGGCCACACACACGCUACAAUGGGUGGUACAGUAGGUUGCAAUGGAGCGAUCCGGAGCUAAUCCUAAAAGCCAUCCUCAGUUCAGAUUGCAGGCUGAAACUCGCCUGCAUGAAGUCGGAGUUGCUAGUAACCGCAUAUCAGCAUGGUGCGGUGAAUACGUUCUCGGGCCUU
rnacentral:rRNA from 1 species